rnacentral:rRNA from 1 species
GACGAACGCUGGCGGCGUGCCUAAUACAUGCAAGUCGAGCGCAGGAAAUCGACGGAACCCUUCGGGGGGAAGUCGACGGAAUGAGCGGCGGACGGGUGAGUAACACGUAAAGAACCUGCCCUCAGGUCUGGGAUAACCACGAGAAAUCGGGGCUAAUACCGGAUGGGUCAUCGGACCGCAUGGUCCGAGGAUGAAAGGCGCUUCGGCGUCGCCUGGGGAUGGCUUUGCGGUGCAUUAGCUAGUUGGUGGGGUAAUGGCCCACCAAGGCGACGAGGCAGAGCCGACCUGAGAGGGUGGUGGGCCACACUGGGACUGCGACACGGCCCAGACUCCUACGGGAGGCAGCAGUAGGGAAUCUUCCACAAUGGACGAAAGUCUGAUGGAGCAACGCCGCGUGAACGAUGAAGGCCUUCGGGUCGUAAAGUUCUGUUGUAAGGGAAGAACAAGUGCCGCAGGCAAUGGCGGCACCUUGACGGUACCUUGCGAGAAAGCCACGGCUAACUACGUGCCAGCCGCCGCAGUAA